UCUAGUGCUGUUUGCACUGAAAGGAACCUAUAUAUGUCUCCCCUGCAGGGGCAGCAGAGGAGAAGAAGAAUUGGGAUCUCUGCAGAGAUGAGCCUCUUUCUGGCAAAGGUGAUCAAGCUCUGAAUCUUCCUGUCUGUUAGAACCAUUGGCUGUCAUUAGAUGUGCAUCAUGAGACAAAGAUCCAGAAUAUUAUUAUUCCAAUCCACCUGUGAGUCUACAGAGCAGCCAGGGCUGCGUGCUCAUUGCCCUUUGAAAGAAGCUGGAGUCCUGCCAGUCAGCCAUUUGGCAGGGAAAGAGAACUUCCGAGAGGACCUUGCCUAUACCACAGAGGACUCCCACACAGUUGCACAGGCUUCCAGCUGACACUGAAAGAUCUCCUGCAAAGCCUGGUUCAGCCAGCAGCUGGCAAUUUGUUCUUUCUUUUUAUAGAAACUGGAGCGCUCUCUCUCUC